AUCGAACCCGGAGAUAGCUGGUUCUCCUCGAAAUAGCUUUAGGGCUAGCCUCGAGAACUAGGAACAUGGGGGUAGAGCACUGAAUGAGCUAGGGGGCCUCAAAGCUUACCGAACUCUAUCAAACUCCGAAUACCAUGUGACCGAUACUCGGGAGUCAGACUACGUGAGAUAAGUCUCGUGGUCAAAAGGGAAACAGCCCAGACCAACGACUAAGGUCCCAAAGUGCAGGUUAAGUGGAAAAGGAUGUGCAAUUGCAUAGACAACCAGGAUGUUGGCUUAGAAGCAGCCACUCAUUCAAAGAGUGCGUAAUAGCUCACUGGUCGAGUGAUUGUGCGCCGAAAAUGUACCGGGGCUAAACCUGCCACCGAAGUCUUGGAAUUCAGUUUACUGGAUUGGUAGAGGAGCAUCGUGCAUGGGCUGAAGCAUGACCGGAAGGACAUGUGGACUGUGCACGAGAGAGAAUGCCGGCAUGAGUAGCGAGAGCAGAGUGAGAAUCUCUGCCGUCGAAAGCCUAAGGUUUCCUGAGGAAGGUUCGUCCCCUCAGGGUAAGUCAGGACCUAAGCCGAGGACGAAAGUCGUAGGCGAUGGACAACAGGUUGAUAUUCCUGUACCACCUUGACACGUUAUACGAUGCAGUGACACAGAAGGAUAGGCAAAGCGGGUUGAUGGUAGAACCCGUCCAAGCACUGAGGGUGCAGCGUAGUGAAGUACGCGCUGUGAUAAGCCUGGGGUGUGAUGGGGACAGAAAAUAAGUAUGGAAGUUGCUGAAUUCACGCUGGCGAGAAAAGCUGCUAAGGAGUGUUAUUGGUGCCUGUACCGCAAACCGACACAGGUAGGCGAGGAGAGAAUCCUAAGACGAGCGGGAGAACCCUUGUUAAGGAACUCGGCAAAAUGACCCCGUAACUUUGGGAGAAGGGGUGCCUCGAAAGAGGCCGCAGUGAAUAGGCCCAAGCGACUGUUUAGCAAAAACACAGGUCUGUGCCAAGUCGAGAGACGAUGUAUACAGGCUGACGCCUGCCCAGUGCCGGAAGGUCAAGGGGAAGUGUUAGGGCAACCGAAGCACGGAACUUAAGCCCCGGUGAACGGCGGCCGUAACUAUAACGGUCCUAAGGUAGCGAAAUUCCUUGUCGGGUAAGUUCCGACCCGCACGAAUGGCGUAACGAUUUGGGCACUGUCUCAACAAGGGACCCGGCGAAAUUGUAGUAUGCGUGAAGAUGCGCAUUGCCCGCGAUAGGACGGAAAGACCCCGUAGAGCUUUACUGUAGCUUGGUAUUGGAUUUUGGCAGCGCUUGUACAGGAUAGGUGGGAGGCUAGGAAACGAGGACGCCAGUUUUCGUGGAGCCACCGUUGGGAUACCACUCUUGUGUUGCUGGAGUUCUAACGUCGCGCGGUUAUCCCGGUGACGGACAGUGCCAGGUGGGCAGUUUGACUGGGGCGGUCGCCUCCUAAAAGGUAACGGAGGCGCCCAAAGGUUCCCUCAGAAUGGUCGGAAAUCAUUCGCAGAGUGCAAAAGCAGAAGGGAGCUUGACUGUGAGAGAGACAUCUCGAGCAGGUACGAAAGUAGGGUUUAGUGAUCCGGCGGCAUUAAGUGGGUUAGCCGUCGCUCAACGGAUAAAAGCUACCUCGGGGAUAACAGGCUUAUCUCCCCCAAGAGUCCACAUCGACGGGGAGGUUUGGCACCUCGAUGUCGGCUC
rnacentral:rRNA from 1 species